UGUUAGAUGUCGCUGUAGAUUUAGCAGUACAUUACUGUAAAAAUCCACAGUACUAUACUGUAUGUGUACAUUACAGUACAGUACUGCAGUUCAUAAUGCAUUCUGGGUAAAUUUGUUUGAGCGGGAACAUUUUACAGUAUCUUUUGGUCUUGAUGUAACCUUGCUGUAGCCAUUGCUGUAAUGUGCCAGGUGUACUUGCAAUAAUCAGAGAAAGUGCGCCAACGUCAAAUCACACAGACAGAGGGAGAGAGAGCACAACUCCUGGCUGCAGCUGAAGGAGGACGAUUGAUUUCUGGCAGUUCGUCUUACCAUUGCUUGUAAGUCGGAUUGGGUAAGAUGGAUCAUCUUUAAAGGAACCAGGAGUUAAGGCAGAUGUGGAGGCACAACGGGUGAUACCAGACACACACCAAGCACAUUAUGUUCGGACAUUCAAUCAUGACAGGAUCCAUGUGGAUGCUGUCCAUUGAGGAAAGAGUUUGUUCAGCGGUUUCUGGAUAGAAUUAAUUCCAAAGAUGGGAAAAAGUGCACAUCCAGACAAGGAGCAAGCAAAUAGACAAGGAACUUGGUGCAGAGAAAAGCUGUGGCCAUUAACCCCCAUGUGAACAGCUUCAUGCAGUCCCUGAUUGAGUUCGAAUGGACGACUUCAAAGUAAAGGCCACUGUGGUCUGUCUGCCACAGUUUAAUGCAUUUAUUUUUAGUGUUAAAUGAAAUUCAAGUAGAAUAUUUAAAACUAUGGGCCAGUGUUCUUUUUACCACAGUGAAAUGUUACCUUUUAGUCGAUGAUGGACUUUAAACUGAAAACUUCAAACUAUGGAACAGUGUUCUAUUUGCCAGAGUUAAAUAUGUUACAGCAGGGGUCUCCAAACUUGUUUAUACUUGUUGAUUUUAUUUUAUUUAACUUGUUUAUAUGUUUAUUAUUGUUUAAAAUCUUGUUUUAAAUAUGUUUUGUUUCAAUUAAAUGUUUUUUUAAAUAAAAUUUUGAUACAUACAUUGCUUGGAUUGCCUUUUAAUUCAUUAUGUUUUAAUGUAGCAUUUUUACCAUAUUAAUAACUAUAGAUUUAAACCUAAAUAUCUAGCUAUUAUAUAUAAUAUUAUUGUAUUAACUGUAAUAAGUAAUAAAUAGUAUUUAUGGGUCAAUAUAGACAUUACAGUAAAUUACUGUAAAAAUAGACUACUGUAAUAAAAUAUUGUAAAAUUACAGUACAGUACUGCUUUGUAACUAUACAGUACUAGUUUGUGUACUGUAAAAUGGUAUUACAGUACAGUACUGUAAAACCAAAAUACAGUAACUUACUGGCAACCGUGCUGCCAGUACCGUACUGUAAAAAUACAGGGAAAUCGUUAACAGU